UACCUCCAACGUAUCUCUGUAAAUAGUCACUGGUGGUAUUUCCAAUUUCUUCUUUCAAAAGUCCCUUACCUGAUAGUUGACCUAUUGCACUAUAAACGGAAAAAAUUGUGAAGUCAGGGUCGAGGCAACGAACAAUUUAUCACGGUGUGUAUCGUAGUAGCCAGGUGUAUUUUCAGCGCCAGCUUCAAGUCUGUUUUCCUUGUAGUCGCCAUUAAUCAAGUCUUGUAUAUUUGUAGAGUGUAUGUAGAAAAUGGACCAAGUUCAUUUCA